rnacentral:lncRNA from 1 species
UUCUAUUUAAAGCCCUUGAAACUCCCCCACUCCCCCUCCCUUUCCAUUUUUUUAGAAGAACAGGAGAAAAAAAUAUCCCCUUAGCCACAGCUGGAUUCACCUCGCCAUGAAUUGUUUUUCUUGCAUUUGGCAUUUCAGCUAGCUACAGAAGAAGUAAUUGUCCAAAGUCUGAAGUAUACCAUUAAUGUGAGAGAAAUGAUACAAAGGAAAAUCUCCGCCUACCUGCACGCACAAAAAAAGAGACAGACUGGAGACAUAACAGCGGUCAUUCAGUGUCUCCAUAUGGUAGAAACGAACUACGGAAAUAUGUGUUCAUAUUAUUGAGGAAAAAAAAAAAAAAAAAAAAAAAAAAAGCUCUGGUGGAAGGAAUAAUAUACCAGUCUCGACACAGGCCGAAAGCAAAAAGAAGUGCCCAGAUUUCCUGGGCAAGCAGAUUAAAAGAAUUAAAAUCAAAAUGUGCUAACAACCUGAAGAGCACAGACAUAAUACAUCUAAUUGAAAUGCAAAAAUACAGACCAGAUUUGUGUCUACUUGCGAGCAUUAUAAAACACACCAAAUCACCUCCAAUAGACCAGCAAGAUCCUCUUGUACUUGGCGAAGGACAAAAACAAACUUUGUCUGAAGUACACGUCCCCCGGCAAAGAUACGAUGGAGCUCACCUUGCAACUAUAGCGAAUCUUUACAUAUUUUCUAUUUCUCCCGGUUUCACAAAAUUUACUGGCGGGCCUCGAAGCUGUGAUGGAAAUCUAAUGCAAUUUCAUCUCUCGGGAGGAUAAGAAUUAGGACCUUCUAAAAGUGAGAAAUAAAACUCGGAGAGAGGCAGACCCUCUUUCCUCC